rnacentral:rRNA from 1 species
UACGAAGGGGGCUAGCGUUGCUCGGAAUCACUGGGCGUAAAGCGCACGUAGGCGGCUUCUUAAGUCGGGGGUGAAAGCCCGAGGCUCAACCUCGGAACUGCCUUCGAUACUGCGGGUCUCGAGUCCGGGAGAGGUGAGUGGAAUUCCUAGUGUAGAGGUGAAAUUCGUAGAUAUUAGGAAGAACACCAGUGGCGAAGGCGGCUCACUGGCCCGGUACUGACGCUGAGGCGCGAAAGCGUGGGGAGCAAACAGG